AUCCAGCUGAUGGGUCCUGCAUAGGACGAAACGCGUGUCCUGGAA
rnacentral:hammerhead_ribozyme from 1 species